AUGAUGUUGGAAAAUAUGAAAAUGGAGUGUGUUUAUAAUAUAAUAUAUGAAGGAUGAGUGGCAUUGGUAAGAUGAAUGAAGAAAUUAGUAAUGGAGCGUGGAAGUUGAUUGCGUUGAGUUGCAGUUGCAGUUGCAGUUGCAGUUGCAGGUGUAUUGUUAACUCUGAAUUUCACUGAGUGAUUGAUCAUUGAUUGGAAUUUGGGGAUAAACAUUAGAUGGGUUGCUUUUCCUGUUUCGAUUCGAGUUCAAGUUCGAGGGAGAAUCACAACCUCCGUUCUCACCACCACCCACAACCCAAUUCCAAUUCCAAUCCCAAUCCCAAUAUCAAUCUGUCUCUCCCUUCUCAGAUUUCCAAGUUGCCAUCUGGAGCAGACAAGUUACGGUCCAGAAGUAAUGGAGGUUCCAAAAGGGAAUUGCCUCCUUCCAACACCAAGGAAGGACACGGACCCG